rnacentral:rRNA from 1 species
GACGAACGCUGGCGGCGUGCUUAACACAUGCAAGUCGAACGGUAAGGCCCUUCGGGGUACACGAGUGGCGAACGGGUGAGUAACACGUGGGUGAUCUGCCCUGCACUUCGGGAUAAGCCUGGGAAACUGGGUCUAAUACCGGAUAGGACUCCGGACUGCAUGGUCUGGGGUGGAAAGCUUUUGCGGUGUGGGAUGGGCCCGCGGCCUAUCAGCUUGUUGGUGGGGUGAUGGCCUACCAAGGCGACGACGGGUAGCCGGCCUGAGAGGGUGACCGGCCACACUGGGACUGAGAUACGGCCCAGACUCCUACGGGAGGCAGCAGAGGGGAAUAUUGCACAAUGGGCGCAAGCCUGAUGCAGCGACGCCGCGUGAGGGAUGACGGCCUUCGGGUUGUAAACCUCUUUUAGUAGGGAAGAAGCGAAAGUGACGGUACCUGCAGAAAAAGCACCGGCCAACUACGUGCCAGCCGCCGCGGUAA